rnacentral:tRNA from 1 species
GGUGACAUAGACAAGUGGCAAGGCAAGGGUCUGCAAAACCCUCAUCGUCGAUUCAAAUCCGGCUGUCACCU